ACAGCAUCUUCCAAUUGGGUUGACCGUACCGGUUCGAACCGGAGGUGAGCGCGGAGCUUGAAUCCGUGAUCGUAGUCAAUAUACAAAGGCUUCGAAUUGGAGAGGGAAUCCGGUGACAGAUCGAAGCGGAGAAGAGCGGCGAGAUCUCUUCUGGAAAAUGGCGGCGAAACCGAUUGCGAGUCCGAUUCCGGUGGCGAUGUACCCUGCGUUGGCGGUCAUUACGGCUUCCUUCUUCAGAUAUGAAGCUACGUCGUCGAGAAAAAACUGAAGCCUCGGAAAAGAGCUCGUCACCGCAGCAACAGCUUCUGUGUUCUUGGGUUUCGGAUCCUUUCUUUUUGCUAUUCGUUAGGGGUGUUUAUGUCUGAUCCUUACCAAAAUAGUAGUAGUAACACUAGCACUUUUGAGAUUAGUUCAUAAGUCUCGGGAUGAUCCGAAAGCGCGGGUUUCUGAUCCAUCUCUCGGGCUGGUUUAAAAGCUUUACGGAGUUAUGGUCGUGACUCAAGAUUAUGGUCGUGACCCUAAUCUCUGAUGAUCCUCGUCUCACCGAUUGGAGGUUGUUGAGUAUUAGAAUCCCAAAAUUAUUUUAAAAAAUAUAUGUAUCUAUAAAAAAAAUGUAUGAUACAAGUUAUGCAUUGGUUAUCCAAAAAUUCAAGAUUAAUAGAA